rnacentral:rRNA from 1 species
UAUGUAGGGGGCAAGCGUUGUCCGGAUUUAUUGGGCGUAAAGAGCGUGUAGGCGGCCUGACAGGUCUGCUGUGAAAACUCGAGGCUCAACCUCGAGAUGUCGGCGGAAACCGUCUGGCUAGAGUCCGGAAGAGGAGAGUGGAAUUCCUGGUGUAGCGGUGAAAUGCGCAGAUAUCAGGAAGAACACCGAUGGCGAAGGCAGCUCUCUGGGACGGUACUGACGCUGAGACGCGAAAGCGUGGGGAGCGAACAGG